UCUACAACACACACACACACACACACACACACACACACACAGCUGGACCUCAACAAGAGCUGAAUCAUGACAAACCCAUAACCACAGCAUUAAAAAU